UCGAGUGGGUUUAGACCCACGGCGAACGGGUGAGUAAUACCUAGGAACGUAUCUUUAGUUGAGCAUAUCCCGCCGAAAGGCGGAGCAAUACUCAAUGUGAUCGCAAGAUUAAAGUCGCAAGACGCUAAAGAAGCGGCCUGGGCACCAUCAGCUAGUUGGUAGGGUAAAAGCCUACCAAGGCUAUGACGGUUAGGGGCCCCGAGAGGGGAGACCCCCACACUGGAACUGCGACACGGUCCAG
rnacentral:rRNA from 1 species